AGAGUUUGAUCCUGGCUCAGGACGAACGCUGGCGGCGUGCUUAACACAUGCAAGUCGAACGAAAAGAGGGAAAGAGCUUGCUCUUUCCGGAAUUGAGUGGCAAACGGGUGAGUAACACGUAAACAACCUGCCUUCAGGAUGGGGACAACAGACGGAAACGACUGCUAAUACCGAAUAAGUUCCAAGAGCCGCAUGGCCCAUGGAAGAAAAGGUGGCCUCUACCUGUAAGCUAUCGCCUGAAGAGGGGUUUGCGUCUGAUUAGCUGGUUGGAGGGGUAACGGCCCACCAAGGCGACGAUCAGUAGCCGGUCUGAGAGGAUGAACGGCCACACUGGAACUGAGACACGGUCCAGACUCCUACGGGAGGCAGCAGUGGGGAAUCUUCCGCAAUGGGCGAAAGCCUGACGGAGCAACGCCGCGUGAGUGAUGACGGCCUUCGGGUUGUAAAACUCUGUGAUCCGGGACGAAAAGGCAGAGUGCGAAGAACAAACUGCAUUGACGGUACCGGAAAAGCAAGCCACGGCUAACUACGUGCCAGCAGCCGCGGUAAUACGUAGGUGGCAAGCGUUGUCCGGAUUUACUGGGUGUAAAGGGCGUGCAGCCGGGCAUGCAAGUCAGAUGUGAAAUCUCAGGGCUUAACCCUGAAACUGCAUUUGAAACUGUAUGUCUUGAGUGCCGGAGAGGUAAUCGGAAUUCCUUGUGUAGCGGUGAAAUGCGUAGAUAUAAGGAAGAACACCAGUGGCGAAGGCGGAUUACUGGACGGUAACUGACGGUGAGGCGCGAAAGCGUGGGGAGCGAACAGGAUUAGAUACCCUGGUAGUCCACGCUGUAAACGAUGGAUACUAGGUGUGCGGGGACUGACCCCCUGCGUGCCGCAGUUAACACAAUAAGUAUCCCACCUGGGGAGUACGAUCGCAAGGUUGAAACUCAAAGGAAUUGACGGGGGCCCGCACAAGCGGUGGAUUAUGUGGUUUAAUUCGAAGCAACGCGAAGAACCUUACCAGGUCUUGACAUCCUGCUAACGAAGUAGAGAUACAUUAGGUGCCCUUCGGGGAAAGCAGAGACAGGUGGUGCAUGGUUGUCGUCAGCUCGUGUCGUGAGAUGUUGGGUUAAGUCC
rnacentral:rRNA from 1 species